rnacentral:rRNA from 1 species
GUAGGGUGCGAGCGUUGUCCGGAAUUAUUGGGCGUAAAGAGCUCGUAGGCGGUUUGUUGCGUCUGCCGUGAAAACCUGGGGCUUAACUCCGGGCUUGCGGUGGAUACGGGCAGACUUGAGUUCGGUAGGGGAGUCUGGAAUUCCUGGUGUAGCGGUGAAAUGCGCAGAUAUCAGGAGGAACACCGGUGGCGAAGGCGGGACUCUGGGCCGAUACUGACGCUGAGGAGCGAAAGCGUGGGGAGCGAACAGGAUUAGAUACCCUGGUAGUCCACGCUGUAAACGUUGGGCGCUAGGUGUGGGUGACAUUCCACGUUGUCCGUGCCGUAGCUAACGCAUUAAGCGCCCCGCCUGGGGAGUACGGCCGCAAGGCUAAA